GAUCAUGGCUCAGGAUGAACGCUAGCUACAGGCUUAAUACAUGCAAGUCGAGGGGCAGCAUGUUGGUUGCUGCAACCAACGAUGGCGACCGGCGCACGGGUGAGUAACGCGUAUCCAACCUACCCUUGUCCAUCGGAUAACCCGUCGAAAGGCGGCCUAACACGAUAUGCGGUUCUCAGCAGGCAUCUAACGAGAACGAAAUAUAAGAGAAGGANGGGAGUGCGU
rnacentral:rRNA from 1 species